rnacentral:rRNA from 1 species
GACGAACGCUGGCGGCGUGCUUAACACAUGCAAGUCGAGCGGAAAGGCCCUUCGGGGUACUCGAGCGGCGAACGGGUGAGUAACACGUGAGUAACCUGCCCCAGACUUUGGGAUAACCCUCGGAAACGGGGGCUAAUACCGGAUACGACACAGCUUCGCAUGGGGUCUGUGUGGAAAGUUUUUCGGUUUGGGAUGGGCUCGCGGCCUAUCAGCUUGUUGGUGGGGUGAUGGCCUACCAAGGCGACGACGGGUAGCCGGCCUGAGAGGGCGACCGGCCACACUGGGACUGAGACACGGCCCAGACUCCUACGGGAGGCAGCAGUGGGGAAUAUUGCAGAAUGGGCGGAAGCCUGAUGCAGCGACGCCGCGUGAGGGAUGACGGCCUUCGGGUUGUAAACCUCUUUCAGCAGGGACGAAGCGUAAGUGACGGUACCUGCAGAAGAAGCGCCGGCCAACUACGUG